AUUGAACGCUGGCGGCAGGCCUAACACAUGCAAGUCGAGCGGAGCGGCGGACGGGUACGUAUUGCCUAGGUCUCUGCCUGGUAGUGGUGGAUAACGUCCAGUACCGGGCGCUAAUACCACAUCCUCUCACCUUCGCCUAUGUCCGCUUAGCUUGUUGGUGGGGUAAAGGCCUACCAAGCCGACGGUCCGUAGCUGGGCUGAGAGGAUGAUCAGUCACACGGGAACUGAGACACGGUCCAGACUCCUACGGGAGGCAGCAGUGGGGAAUAUUGGACAAUGGGCGAAAGCCUGAUGCAGCCAUGCCGCGUGUGUGAAGAAGGUCUUCGGAUUGUAAAGUACGUUAAGUUGGGAGGCGUUACCAACAGAAGAAGCACCGGCUAACUCCGUGCCAGCAGCCGCGGUAAUUC
rnacentral:rRNA from 1 species